CAUGCAAGUCGGGCGGCAAGGGGGAGUAAUCCUCCCUAGAGCGGCGGACUGGUGAGUAACGCGUGGGAGAUCUACCUUUAGGUUGGGGAUAGCCGUUAGAAAUAGCGGGUAAUACCGGAUGUGGUUGCGGGGCUGUGGUCUUGCAAAGAAAGCGGCUUUGGCCCUGCCUGGAGAUGAGCCCGCGUCCCAUUAGGUAGUUGGCGGGGUAAGGGCCCACCAAGCCUGAGAUGGGUAGCCGGCCUGCGCGGGUGGACGGCCACAUUGGGACUGAGAUACGGCCCAAACUCCUACGGGAGGCAGCAGCUAAGAAUAUUCCGCAAUGGGCGGAAGCCUGACGGAGCGACGCCGCGUGUAUGAAGGAGGCCGGAAGGUUGUAAAGUACUUUUAUGGCUGAGGAAUAAGCGGGGGAGGGAAUGCCCUUGUGAUGACGCGAUGCCAUGAAUAAGCCCCGGCUAAUUACGUGCCAGCAGCCGCGGUAACACGUAAGGGGCGAGCGUUGUUCGGAAUUAUUGGGCGUAAAGGGCGCGUAGGCGGUUUUUCAAGUCCGGCGUGAAAGGCGGGGGCUCAACCUCUGGACUGCGCUGGAAACUGGGAGACUAGAGUCUGGGAGGGGGAGUUGGAAUUCCUGGUGUAGGGGUGAAAUCUGUAGAUAUCAGGAAGAACACCGGUGGCGAAGGCGAACUUCCAGCCUGGGACUGACGCUGAGGCGCGAAAGUGCGGGGAGCGAACAGGAUUAGAUACCCUGGUAGUCCGCACUAUAAACGAUGUGCACUAGGUGUCGGCCUUGCCGUUCGGUGCCGAAGCGAACGUGGUAAGUGCACCGCCUGGGGAGUAUGCCCGCAAGGGUGAAACUCAAAGGAAUUGACGGGGGCCCGCACAAGCKGUGGAGCAUGUGGUUUAAUUCGAUGAUACGCGAGGAACCUUACCUGGGUUUGACAUGGCAGGGGAGGGUACGGAGAGGUAUCCGUCCCGCGAGGGACUCUGUCACAGGUGCGUCAUGGCUGUCGUCAGCUCGUGCCGUGAGGUGUUGGGUUAAGUCCCGCAACGAGCGCAACCCCUACUGCCAGUUGCCAGCAGGCAAAGCUGGGGACUCUGGCGGAACUGCCGGUGACAAACCGGAGGAAGGCGGGGAUGACGUCAAGUCAUCAUGGCCCUUAUGUCCAGGGCGACACACGUGCUACAACGGGCGGUACAGAGCGAUGCGAACCCGUGAGGGGAGAGCGAAGCGCGGAAAGCCGUCCGUAGUUCGGAUUGAAGUCUGCAACUCGGCUUCAUGAAGUUGGAAUCGCUAGUAAUCGCGCAUCAGCAUGCCCCGGUGAAUACGUUCCCGGGCCUUGUACACACCGCCCGUCACACCAUCCGAGUUGGGGGUACCCGAAGCCGGCAGUCUAACCCGCAAGGGAGGNCGCUGUCGAAGGUACGUUUAGUGAGGAGGGUGAAGUCGUAACAAGGUAGCCGUACUGG
rnacentral:rRNA from 1 species